rnacentral:lncRNA from 1 species
UAUAUGUAACAUAUAUUUUAAUAUUUUUAAAUUUAUAAACAUAAUAUAUAAAUACAUAUUUCUAAAUGGUAGAGGAAGGCGUGGGGCGCGGCACGCUGCCCCAGGUGUGCCCCAGGUGUGCCCCCCAGGUGCCCCCCAGGUGCCCACCUGGGGCGUGGCGCGCAGGUAGAGGAAGGCGUGGGGCGCGGCGCGCUGCCCCAGGUGUGCCAGCAGCGCGUCGUGCCACUGCUGGUACAGCGCCCACUCCAGCGGCUGCAGGUGCCCGGCCUCGAAGAGCUGCUGGGCAAACACGUACCUGGCACAGGGGACACACAGUGAUACCACGUUUUAUUUCAUUUAUACCGAAUUUUUAUUUAUAUAUCUAUAGAAAUCGGGAGCU